rnacentral:rRNA from 1 species
UACGGGGGGAGCAAGCGUUGUUCGGAUUUACUGGGCGUAAAGGGCGCGUAGGCGGUCAGCACAAGUCAGUUGUGAAAUUUCGGAGCUUAACUCCGAAACUGCAUUUGAUACUGGCGUGCUUGAGGACUGGAGAGGAGACUGGAAUUCACGGUGUAGCAGUGAAAUGCGUAGAUAUCGUGAGGAAGACCAGUGGCGAAGGCGGGUCUCUGGACAGUUCCUGACACUGAGGCACGAAGGCCAGGGGAGCAAACGGG